AGCCCGAUAGUAUAAGGGUAGUACAACAGAUUUUGGUUCUGUUUGUGGAGGUUCGAAUCCUUCUCGGGCUA
rnacentral:tRNA from 1 species